rnacentral:ncRNA from 5 species
ACGGCGGGAGUAACUAUGACUCU